AUGUUCAGCUGGCCAAAACUCCCAGAUACCAUGGUGACUGUCUGGAUGAUAACAAUGAAAGCCCUGAUGAGUUAUUUAAACUCAAGCCAGCCCAACCCAGUAUUCUUAGAUACUCUUCAGGAAAAUGUGGCAAUGCAUGAGGAUGAUCAUCCCAAAAGCUCUGCUUCUUCAGGGAAGGAACCAAAGGAAACAAAAUGCAAAGUCACCAUGGAGAAAUUGUUUUAUCUGAAUACUAAGAUACUCCAACAAAUUAAAAUGCUGGAACAGAGACAAGCUGUCAUCAUGAAUGACUUGGCAAAAGUUAAGCCUGUUCUCAUGAAGCGGGCAGAAGAAGAUGCCCAUGAGGAACUUUUUAAACAACAACAGUGCUCCAGCUUUGAAACGUUUGAAGCCUUCUGUCAGAGGCUUGAAGAAGACAAAAAUUAUCAAGAGCUUUAUGUACACUAUCUCAUCCAUACUCACGGCACCUCCAAUAUAGGUGAGAUGGUGAAAGAGGCUUUAAUAAGCAUAGUGUCAGACAAUGUUCUCUGUCUGUAUAACAGAACGGGGAAAGAUGGGAAGAAGGUGUUGCCACCUGUGCUCCUGACAUGUUUGAAAAAAUGUGUCAGGUCUUUUCACAAACAAAAUGAAAUAAAGGUGAAGAAGCUAAAAGUAACCACCAGAACAACACCAGACGCGGAAUGUAUUCGCCAAGUAGAAUUUUUUUGUCCAACGCCAAAACCAGGCUGAAAAGGAAACCAAAUAAAGGAAAAAGCUGACUUUUUGUUUGAUUGUUUUUAUUGAUGGAAAUAAGGAAUGUGGGUGUAAAAGUUUGAGUUAACUGAAUCAUUUUAGAUAACAGUGAACUAACACAAUUAUUGCAUAGUGGUGUUAUAUGGUGAUCUCACAGUAUGAGCACACAGUGACCACAGUAUGAGCACACAGUGAUCACAGUAUGAGCACACAGUGAGUGUGAUGUGACCUCAUAUUUCCACCACAGUAUGAGUGCACUGUGAUUGUGCAGUCACCUCAUGCUGUGAACAAAGUAUGAGCACACAGUGAGAGCUCUUUGUGGUUACACUUUUAGUUCACUGUGACACUCACAUUAUGACCGCACCAUGAGAAUAUUGUGAGCUCAUAGUGACAUCAUUGUGAGAUCAAAUUGUUGACUGGGCAAUUACAGUUGUUUUUAUUAUUGUACAUUAUUCUCCUCAAAUGCUCUCGAAGUUAGAAAAGUGUAGUAGUCUAUACCAAUACCUCAUGUAACUUUAGAGACGGUCCCUAUAUUUGCGAAUAUCGAACAUCCAACGUCAAGCCAACUUUAUGCCCGCUUUUUACUUUUUUUUUUUUUUACUUUCUUCUGUUUUCUUUCCUCUGCAACGGAUGGUUGAUGUCUUUUAACCAGGCAUAUAUGUCCAUCCAUCAAUUAUGAACAUUCAGCCGCAAACAUGAGGUGCGAGCGUUUACAAGUGUGGUCGGGGGGAAUGACAAGGUUUUUUUUUUUUUUUUUUUUUUGAGCACUGCCCCCCAGGGAUUUGCUGCCCUACACAAACUGUGUACUCUGCAUAUAGAGAGCGGUGGUACUGCCUAAAAUGUAAUGUUUCUGUUAAUAUUGGGGGCUGAAAUUCUUCAAGAUUACAUCUUCCUUGGGGAGUCCCUCAAGGUUCGAUUCUUGCUCAAAUUCUUUUCUCCCUUUAUAUGUUACCGUUAGGAGCAAUUUUUCACAAAUAUAAAGUGUCAUUCCAUUGCAACGCUGAUGAUACGCAGAUUUAUUUGCCUGUGAGUGAGUUCAAACUCAAAUUAAAAUUCAAACUCACUUGACACUUUAUUAGCAUGCUUACACAAUGUUAAAGAGGGGGUGAAAAGCUAAUUUUCACUCAAUCUCCUGUUAAUCUUGAGUACGUAUAGAGUAGUACUGCAUCCUCCAUAUCUCCAAAAAGUCUUUAGUUAUAUUAUAUUUAUUAGAGAAAGAUAGUCUGUACUGAUUUUUUCCGGAAAAAAACACGAGCGGCUGGAGGCGUGACGUGUGGGUGGAGCUAAAGAAUCACGAGCACGACUAGGAUUUUGCAUUGAGAGCAUUUGGAAGCUGUGACAUUACCAUCAUCCAAAACAAACCAUGGCUAACAGUAAGAUUCAGCCGUAUAUUUUUGAUCCAGAAUCAGAUCUCGAGGCUGAAAUUGAACAAGAGCAGCAGCAGCAACGACUACAGCAGGACGUCUCUAUGUAGUAUAUAUUGAAACUAUAUAUAUUUGCUUAGCGGUUUUGGAAAGUGACUAAGUUCCACAUUAUGUCGUUUUUUUUUUUUUUUUUAAAGGGGGGGUGAAAUGCUCGUUUUCACUCAAUAUCCUGUUAAUCUUGAGUACCUAUAGAGUAGUACUGCAUCCUUCAUAACACCAAAAAGUCUUUAGUUUUAUUAUAUUUAUAAGAGAAAGAUAGUCUGUACCGAUUUUUCCCGGAAAAACACGAGCGCCUGGAGGCGUCACGUGUGGGCGGAGCUAAAGAACAAGCACGAAUUAUGUCGAUUGCAAGUGUCACAGGUAGCAGAAAGUGCAAGUAGCGAUUGCAACUGACAUUGUAAUUUAGUUUAUUUUUUUCUUGUCUUCGCCACCUGGCUACUGUUGUAAAAUGUUGGGAAAUUCGAACAAAAAGUUAAAAAAAAAAUCAAUAAAAUAAAGAAUAAAGACUGCAAGUGAUGUCACUAGCGCAAGUGCAAGUGUCUGAGAGUGCAAGUGCAAGUCUGCAGCCAGACCCUCUUGCAACUCCGUUGAUGCUCUGUAAAAAUAAACUCCAUCCACUGGUCCCUUAAUGCUGUUUUUUUUUUUGGUAAUCUGUACAGGGUUGUCUUGCCCUGGCAACCGAAAACACACUUUGGUGACAUUUCGCUCUCUCACACUGGUCAGUGAAUGUCUCUGCUCUGGUCUAUGGGCACGCACGCGCUCUUCUGGGAGAAGUGCCCUUAGGACCCAUAUAAGGAAAUUCUGCACCAUCUAACGUCACACGGACCCAUACUCGAAAAAAACUUUCCGAAACUUGUGACAAACCGGAAGGAGUAUUUUUGGAACAAAAAUACUCCUUCAAACGUACAACUUAAUUUUUGAAACUUUGUCCAUGUUUAGCAUGGGAAUCCAACUCUUUAACAGUGUAAAAAUCUCAGUAUGCAUGAAAUAGCAUUUCACCCCCCUUUAAGGAUUGGAUGGCUGCAAUUUUUUUAAAGGUUAAUGAAAAUAAAACUGAUGUUAUUGUGUUUGGCCCUAGAAAACAUGAGGUGCUGCCGUGCUUGAAAGCAAUUUUUUUGACUGGUUUUGUUAAAUCUAAUGUAAAAAAAAAAAAAAGGAUUUGUUCUGGAUAGUGAUUUAAAGUUGGACAGAGAAAUUAACAUUGUGGUGAGAUCUUGUUUUUUUUUUUUUUUUUAUCUAUGUCUGCUAGUUAAGACUAAACCAUUUCUAUCUAGUUCAGAUUUUGAGAGAGCAAUUCCGUCCAUUGUCUUUUCACGAAUGGAUUAUUGUAAUUCACUUUACUAUGGAGUUGACGUUCGAG
ensembl:lncRNA